GACGAACGCUGGCGGCGUGCCUAACACAUGUAAGUCGAACGGAACUGUUUUGAAAGAUUUAUUGGGAAUGAAUUUGAUUUAGUUUAGUGGUGGAAGGGUGAGUAACGAGUGAGUAACAUGCCUUUAAGAGGGGAAUAACAUUCUGAAAAGAAUGCUAAUACCGCAUGACAUAUCGGAACCACAUGGUUUUGAUAUCAAAGAUUUUAUCGCUUGAAGAUGGACUCGCGUCCGAUUAGUUAGUUGGUGAGGUAACGGCUCACCAAGACCGCGAUCGGUAGCCGGACUGAGAGGUUGAACGGCCACAUUGGGACUGAGACACGGCCCAGACUCCUACGGGAGGCAGCAGUGGGGGAUAUUGCGCAAUGGGGGCAACCCUGACGCAGCAACGCCGCGUGAAGGAUGAAGUUUUUCGGAUUGUAAACUUCUUUUAUUAAGGACGAAAAAUGACGGUACUUAAUGAAUAAGCUCCGGCUACCUACGUG
rnacentral:rRNA from 1 species